GUCCACGCCGUAAACGAUGGAUACUAGCUGUUGGGCGCAAGUUCAGUGGCUAAGCGAAAGUGAUAAGUAUCCCACCUGGGGAGUACGGGCGCAAGCCUGAAACUCAAAGGAAUUGACGGGGGCCCCGCACAAGCGGUGGAGCAUGUGGUUUAAUUCGAUGAUACGCGAGGAACCUUACCAAGGCUUAAAUGUAGAUUGACCGGUUUGGAAACAGAUCUUUCGCAAGACAAUUUACAAGGUGCUGCAUGGUUGUCGU
rnacentral:rRNA from 1 species